AACCCCGGAAGUAAAGGCAGGAGCCAGGCGGGAAGAAGCGGCGCUGGGCUCAGAGCGUAGGAGGGGCCAGCGAGGCGCGUGCGCUGACCGAGCCACUGGCGCGCGUUUCAGUGCAGUAGGUGAAAGGCUCGCGGGACCAAGGCGUCCGUACAGCACUGUGUCGCGGAUAGAAGAUCAAGAGUCUAGGGAGUUUCUACUCGGGACAGGGCCUCUGUUUUUGCAGGCUCGUUGAGACAAGGAGGUGUGCAUCCGGAGGCUGCGGGGCUCGGCGCCCUCACGUUCUCCUGGCGGAGAUUGCAGCAGGCUCUAUUUAGGUGUCCUCCGCUCGACUCUUCGCUUUGGUUUGUUUUUCCUGUCGUCAGUGCAAAUGUUCACCAUUGUUGGCUCUCAAAAGCUGGUGACUGGAUAGAAUGGCUUAUAGAUAACAGCUGCAACAAGUCAGACCUCAGCUCUGCUCUAAGGGAGUCCACAGACUAUGGGGGGAGAGCAUAAAUCAAUAAAUGAAUAUAUUAUGUAAUAGUAGGGAGAAGACAAGGUGCUCUAACCAGAACGUGGGAGAGUGGAGCCUACCCUGCAAGCUACAGAGCCUGUUUGUAUCCUGGCUGGCUGGAUUCUGCUGUCCUCCUGUAUAAGAAAUAAGCAAACAGUAUAAAGAAAAAGAAUUUAAUAGUUUGAUCAAACUGCCCUUGGUCUUAGGGAAGCAGUUACAAUUUGUAGGAACAGAAGUCAGGAGAUAUAUGUGUGUGUGUGUGUGGUUGUGUAUAAUUUAUUUAUUUGCCGGGCUAUACUAACUAGAGGACAUGUCAUUUUCAGCUUUCUUGACCACUGCCAGGGACAUGGGGUAAAGUUUCCAUUCUCAGCAUGAGGAAGUUGGGGAGCUAAAACAAUUCAGCCUUUAAGUUCAAAGGGAUCUCUGUUUCAGUAGGAUUACCAUGAACUGCUCUUCUGAAGUGAGGUUUUGCACUGAGAACUGUACAAUGAGCCAGCUUUGUGACUGUUUCAGGCGGAAGGGUAGGCAUGGGAUUUUACUGUUUGUGUAAGGAUUGGUAGUCUGGAUCUUACCAGUCAGGACCUAUAUUAAGAGAUCUAGGGUUGGGGAUGCGGUUCAAGCAUACUCGCCUGGCAUGCGCGGGGCACUGGAUUCGAUCCUCAGCACCACAUAAAAAUAAAAUAAAGAUGUUGAAUUAAAAAAUUCUCUCUCAAAAAAAAAUCCAUAUGGAUGGACUUCGGAGAACCAUGAACUAAUAGAGUUGAUAAAAUACUAUACAUAUAUGUAUUUUUGUGGGCUGAAGAUAUACAACAUUUAUCAGGGUCUUGUUCAUUUGAUUUUUUGAGAUGGGGUCUCUAUUAUCCAAGCUAGUGUAUAAUUUUUUUAAAAAAAUUUUUAGUUGUAGAUGGACACAAUACCUUUAUUUAUUUGUAUGUGGUGAGGAUUGAACCCAGUGCCCCACAUGUGCAAGGCAAGUGUUCUACCACUGAGCUACAACCCCAGCCCUAGUCUAGGAAUUUUUGAGCUCAAGUUCUCCUCCUGCCUCAGCCUCCCAGUAGUUGGGACUAUAGGCCUACAUGCUUGCCCCAUCAUGGGCCCUCCAACCCCAGGAUCUCAGGAGAGCCAGUUAAGAAUCUUUAAAGCUGGGCAUGGUAAUGCAUUGCCUGUAAUGCCAGCUACUUGGGAGGCUGAGGCAGGAGGAUUUUAAGUUCAAGGCUAGCCUGGGCAAUUUAGCAAGAUCCUGUCUAAAAAUAAGAUGAAAAGGACUGGGGAUGUAGCUUAGUGAUACAGUGCUUGGCUCGCAGAUGAGAGGCCCUAGGUUCAAUUCCCUACCAUGAAUAAAUAAAUAGAUGGGGGUGGGGAAGAAAGGUUAAUGAGCCAGGCAUGGUGGUGCAUGUCUGUAAUCCCAGUGGCUUGGGAUGCUGAGGCAGGAGGAGCCAGUCUCAGCACUUAGAGAGACCCUGUUUCAAAAUUAAAAAAGGGCUGGGGGUGUGGCUCAGUGGUUUAGGUGUCCUAGGUUUAAUCCCUGGUAUCAAAAAAAAAAAGGUUAGUGAAUGUGUAUUAAGGAGUCUUUGGUUAGUUCCACUUUCAGGCUACUUUUUAAAUUUUUUUGGUACCAGGGAUUGAACUCAGGGUCACACUACCACUGAGCCAUACCCCCAGCCCUAUUUUGUAUUUUAUUUAGAGACAGGGUCUCACUGAGUUGCUUAGCACCUCGCUGUUGCAGAGGCCGGCUUUGAAGUCGAUACUCCUGCCUCAGCCUCAGCCUCACGAGCGGAGCCACUGGGAUGACAGGCAUGCGCCACCUCGCCUGGCUUCAGUAUACUAUUACAAAAUGUCAAUGCUCAUCGAUGCUGUGCUGAGUGAAGGACCCUGCAGGGCAGUACUGACAUUGCUCACCUGCCCUCUGGAAAGACCUGUGCACCUGCUUUCAUAUGAUCAUUUCAGAUUAAAAUACCAUUUAUCUGAGACUGAAAAAAUGAGCACCGCAGGGGCCUCUCCCAAGCGCCUUUGAAAAGGCCAAACCAGAAUCCACUGGUUAGAGAAAACAGUAUAAAUAGUUCAGACUGCUGCAGAGAUGUUCUCCCAUAAUAUUUCCUCGAAACUGAAGACUUUUUUUUUUUUUUUUUUUUAAUCCAGGGACAUCUUAUCAUUGAGCUUUCCCAGUCUUUUUAUUGUAAGGGUCUUGCUAAGUUACCCAGGCUGGCCUCAGACUUGCAAUUCUCCUGCUUCCGCUUCCCGAGUUGCUGGGAUUACAAGUGUGUACCAUUGGCUCUAGCAAGACUCUUUAAGUAAAACGAUUUUUGUGAAAUGUAUACCCCCGAGAUGAUCCCCAUGUCUGGGUUGAUGGUAUUUGGAAGUGAGACCUUUGGGAGCUAUUUAGGGUUAGAUGAAUUGAGGAAGGGGCCCUCUUGGUGGGCUUUGAGAGAUCUGAGCUGAUGCACACUUGCUCAAUGUUGUCUUGUGAUGCCCUUUACCAUCGGAUGAUGCAGCAAGAGGGUCCUCAGCAGACUUCAGCUUCAUGUUCUUGGACUUCCCACUCCAAAACUGUUAGCCAAAUAAACUGUUCUGUGUAAAUUA